rnacentral:lncRNA from 1 species
AUCAGCUAUUUUACUCACCCUCAGGAGAGUAGAUUUACGGCAUGAUUGGAAGUUCCUUACCGUAGUGACGCUAUGUGACAUUAUGUAACGCAAUACAUUACAACUGUCAUCAAAGACCCUCGAUAAGUACCUACUAAGUCUGGAAAUAAAGAGGAAGAUUAUACGCUUAGAACAAUACAAAUUUUCCGCCCUCUGACGCUGACCAGGUGGCUGAAACCCACGAGCACUAUAAAACUAUGAAGGGUAAAACCACCAGUCGUCAAAAAACCACAACGUGAUGUGUUUUGUUGUUAUCCUGAUUGGUUUACCGGGAGUACUCUAGUGACCUCGAAAUAUGAAAACUAUGUCGGUAUCUGACAGAAUUAUGAGCCAUUUUCCUCCGGAGGGAAAGCUGUAAUACAUAUGGGAGAGGUUGAAAAGAAAAUCAGUUUUAAAUAUGAUUUUGAUCUGCGUAGGAACAUGUGAGGUCUUGGUUUUCUGAUUGUUACAAUGGUGCAAUUAUGAUGUCCGUGUAACUACGAAACUGAAUUAAUUAACAUCGCAAGUGAUUGUUUAGCCAUACAGCUUAAACCGAAAAUGUUUUGGAUAGAACCAAAGAAUGAUUUUCCACAUGUGUAGUGAUACUUUUAAUUUAACGGAUUUCCUCUUGGAUGUUGACUGAAGAAAAAACCGCUCUGGUUUCAGAUAAGGAUCUCGAGUGAUCCGAUGUCAUUUCCAUUCUUUCAGCGGACGAUCAACGAAUCUCCGCUCUCAAAACAAGACGAAUGAAAGAUAUUCCUCACUUCGAACAAUUGGAAAUAAUUUUUCUUCGCCAUAUAUACUUUUGCUUCCUCGAUAUCCUCGGAAAAAUCGAGAUUGGAUGCCAUGUCUUCGCUGUUCUAGAAGUUAUACGUCACGGGCGACGAGCCGGGAAGAAAAUAGUCUGAAAUAUGAGUGGUCAGCGGUGAAAUGGCUUUGAUGACUCAUGUAGAAACAAAUCAUUCGUAGUUCCAGUUAGUAAUUGUGUUAUAGAAACCGAAAUGUCAACAGUACACUUCGCUAAAUAAAAAAUUAAGCAAUUUUUCAAAAGCGUUAUCGUACAAAUAUACUAUGGCAGUAUUGCGUGACCGUUGUUAGCUGGAAUAGUCACGCAAUAGUUGAAACAAUUCACCCGGACUGCAGUCUUUUCAAGACAUAAGUAUUCUUCAUUGAAGCCUUUCGCCAUGACGGACGAAGAUUCUCUGUGCUGUAUGGCUCUCAAACUGGGACUUCCCAAGAGAUUGCUGAAAGAAUCGGUCGAGAAGCGAAAAGAAGAUAUCUGUCAGCGUGUGUUUUGGCUCAAGACGAUUACAUUGUGGUAUGCCUAUCAUCUGAUGACUGUAGUUAUGUUAGGAUAUCUUAUAUUACGAAAGUACAUGGUAAGUAUUAUAAUGACUUGUAGAUUUUUUCAGAUGAAGCUGAUAGAAGAGGAGCUUGCGAUAUUUGUACGUGCAACAACAGGUCAAGGAGAUGAACUUAAAUAUCACCUAGGGGAUCAUGAGUUGAUCCAAUACUAAAUUAUCUGAACUAACAUUGUAAGAAUUGAUUGGUUCACAGUAAGGUGAAUAACAAAUUUGAUCUGGGAUUUAAAGGGUUAAGGUGGUUGGGAAAUAUCUCAAGAUAACGAUUUUGUGAAAACCAGAUUAUCAAAAUUUUGAUUCUGUUAUGAUGAUAAACAGUGGAUACUAUAAAUCUUGAGUAAUUCAUCAUCAGUCUCCUCUGAUUAAAGCAAUAUUUAAUUAAUUUUUAUUUUAUAGAUUUAACUUUAUUACUAAGAAGCUGAAUAAGAGACUGAUCUAGCUGGGUGGUACAGAACUUCAAAGGGUUGGCAUAGCAGAUGACCAGCAUAAUCUUUGGCAUGUUCCAAGUUUGGGAUUAGCAAGUUAUCAAUUUUUUUCUUUCCUAUCAAUUAGGGUCUGUUUUUCAAUUUAGGUUAGAUUACAUACUAAUCAGUAUGUAGUUAUAGAGUGGGGGAUAAUAUAACAAGAAUAUCUUAACUGAAUGGAACCUAAAUGUAUAGGGUCAACAAUGCUGCCUCCUUUGAAAAAAGGGGCCACCUCUCUCUCCUCCCCAGGGGGUCACACCAUAUUUGUCAGUUGUAACUUGCUUAAGGCAGUUGUUCUAUUAUAAAUGCUAUGUUCUGAAUAGAAGGACUAAAUUAAACUAGGCUUAAGUUCUACUACAUAAGGGAACUACUGGUAUCUUUCAAAGGAACUCAUCCAAGUCCCUGUUUUUGGUGAUUUAUAAUAGAAAACCGAAUAAUGUAAAUUACAUUGUGACAAAACUAAAGCAAAAGGCAUGAACAGAAAUGAAUGCAAGUAAAUAUUCACCUAUCAGAACUGUUGACAUAACUGCAAAAAUCAUCAUUAUUUUAUCAUAUCUUUGAGUAUUAACUUCAUAGUCGUCAGUCAGUGCAUUCUACAAGACAAGUGCACUUAUAGCAGGAAAGUAAAGAGUUGAAUAUACUUUUCUUUUAAUUUAGGCCAGAUUGUUGAUCUGUGGUUGAUCUGUGGUUGAAACAACUAUGGGAAAGAAUGCCUAGAAUACAUCCUCUGCCAGCUGGAAAGGAUAUCAUCAGUACUCAUGUUAGGCCUCACUCAAGAUUCAAGGUGAUCUUUGUUGAUACCAUUAAUCCUGUAAAAGAGGACACAAACAAACAGUUAUUUCUGAUUCCAGUCCAAGCAAAAGACAUCCUUUCAAUGCAUGGCUAAUAUCAAACAACCAUGUCACUUGACUAGAUCACUGGCAAGAUGUAAGACUGGUGCAAUUUGAUAUAAAGGGUUCUGGAAUGAGAUCUCCCUGUUCCACACCAGCUUCCUCAGCCUUGCUCCAUUAAGCACCUUGUGGAAAAUUAUCUAGACAUUCAAGGUGUACCAAGAAGACACGUCUUUGAGCUUCUUUCCCACUUCACAAGUUCAGAGCUGGAAAAGGAAAAACUUCAAGAGUUUUGCUCUGCAGAGGGACAGGCUCAUCCAGAUGAAAUCCAGUUACUAGUAGUAGUUGUAAACUACAAAACUAAACUUGUCAAACCGAGGCGAGGCCUGUGCUCCACAUGGCUGGCUUCUCUGGACCCCUUUGAAC